rnacentral:rRNA from 1 species
GACGAACGCUGGCGGCGUGCUUAACACAUGCAAGUCGAGCGGUAAGGCCCUUUCGGGGGUACACGAGCGGCGAACGGGUGAGUAACACGUGGGUGACCUGCCCUCAGCUCUGGGAUAAGCCUGGGAAACCGGGUCUAAUACUGGAUAUGACUCCAUGACGCAUGUUGUGGGGUGGAAAGCCUUGUGCGGCUGAGGAUGGGCCCGCGGCCUAUCAGCUUGUUGGUGGGGGAUGGCCUACCAAGGCGACGACGGGUAGCCGGCCUGAGAGGGCGACCGGCCACACUGGGACUGAGACACGGCCCAGGCUCCUACGGGAGGCAGCAGUGGGGAAUCUUGCGCAAUGGGCGAAAGCCUGACGCAGCGACGCCGCGUGAGGGAUGACGGCCUGGUGUAACU